rnacentral:lncRNA from 1 species
UGCCCCGUAAGUUAAUCACAUGAGUGAUGAUAUAUGUGACAUGAUAUAUACUCUUUUUAUUUAUUUGAUAUUUUUUUUAUUUUAUAUUACUUAUUGUAUAUAUUGUGAUGUUGAUAGAUUUGUACAGUGGGAAUCGGAUGAUGAUGAGAUUACGAUAAUGAAACUAGUUCACCUUUAAACAAAGACCCUAAAUAAUCCUGGUCAUAGGUCAUUUGAGAAGGACAUCGAGAUGAUCGAAUAGACUGAUGUAUUGUAUACUCGUCCAUAUGAUGAAAAACUGAUAUCAUAAUUGUCAUUGGAUCGAAAGGGUUGCUAAUAGUUAGGUCUAAUAUGUCAUACGGGCACGACAACUAAUUAGAUAUUUGUAGCUAUCCAUGCUUAAUGUGAUCCGCUUAAGUCAAAUUAGGAUAUUGUUAAUUGGUAUGAGAUGAUAAGUAUUUAAUCUAAUUCAUAAGCUAUUAUAAUGAAAUUUAGGCUCUUUUACUCGAUUGUGAGCAUGAGGAUCAAAUUCCACUCACUUUACAGGUUAAAGAGAAAAUUAAAAUAAAAAGAAAGUGUGGG